GCUGAAACUUAAAGGAAUUGACGGAAGGGCACCACCAGGAGUGGAGCCUGCGGCUUAAUUUGACUCAACACGGGAAAACUUACCAGGUCCGGACAUAAGAAGGAUUGACAGAUUGAGAGCUCUUUCAUGAUUUUAUGGGUGGUGGUGCAUGGCCGUUCUUAGUUGGUGGAGUGAUUUGUCUGGUUGAUUCCGUUAACGAACGAGACCUCAGCCUGCUAAAUAGUUAUGCUAUUCUUGAAUAGCUUAGCUUCUUAGAGGGACUUUCCGGGUC
rnacentral:rRNA from 1 species